GGGGAUGUAGCUCAGUGGGAGAGCACUUGCUUUCCUUGUAAGAAGCCCUGGGUUCAAGCCCCAGCAUCUCCA